rnacentral:rRNA from 1 species
UGGGGAAUUUUGGACAAUGGACGCAAGUCUGAUCCAGCCAUGCCGCGUGCGGGAAGAAGGCCUUCGGGUUGUAAACCGCUUUUGUCAGGGAAGAAACGAGUUUCUCUAAUACAGAGACUUAAUGACGGUACCUGAAGAAUAAGCACCGGCUAACUACGUGCCAGCAGCCGCGGUAAGACAGAGGGUGCAAACGUUGUUCGGAAUUACUGGGCGUAAAGCGCAUGUAGGCGGCCUAGCAGGUCGGAUGUGAAAGCCCUCGGCUCAACCGAGGAAGUGCAUUCGAAACCGCAAGGCUUGAGUCCCGGAGAGGGUAGUGGAAUUCCGCGUGUAGCAGUGAAAUGCGUAGAUAUGCGGAGGAACACCGAUGGCGAAGGCAAUCCCCUGGGCCUGUACUGACGCUCAUGCACGAAAGCGUGGGGAGCAAACA